AAGUGCUGGGUGGGUAAAGGAGAAACGAAACAGAAAAAAAAAAAAAGAAAAAAGAAAAAAGAACAGAGCGGCGGCAAGACCCAGAAAGGAAAAGAGGAGAAAAGAAAGAGAGGAAGAAAGAAGGAGAAAGAAAAGAGAAAUCGGCAAAGAACGGCACUUAUACCCAAAAUAAGUCAAUUCAACUGAAUUAGAGCAUUAAAAGAAGCAAUCUCAAGCUUAGUGAGAGAAAGGAGCAAAGUGGAAGCAAAGUGGUGAAGAGGCCUUCUCUUAUCGAUUGAACCAAGCUAUGAUUGAUCACACUGUGAUCAUUCCAACCAUGCCAUGAUAGAUCGAGCCUUUUGUUCUUAUCUUCAGGAGCUAUUCGAUUGAUCCAACCUUUCAUUCGAAUCGAUCCUUUUGAUCUUAUCCUCACCUACCACUUUUGUCCUUUUUCAAAAAUAUCUCAGCCUUGUCCUUAUCCAAAAGGUGCGCCAACAUAGUUCGAUCGAUCCAAACAACCUUGUGACUGAUCAAACUGCCACAAGUGUGUGAAAAAUAGAGUUCUAGCCAAAUUAAAGGUGUGCUCAUGGUGCAAUCAUUUGGAGGUCCUAGUGCACGAGGUCUGACCAUUGAGUGUAACAUUUGAGCUACCUAUAUAAGGAUUUUGGGCUAUUUUUAGAAAGAGGUUGGAUUAGAGAUAGAGGCUUGGCUAGAGAUUAGAGAGAGCAACAUACAAUUUAAGGAAAGUUAUUCCACUCUUUUAGGGUUUCUACUAAGAGCACAAGAGGAGGAUGAUGACUUCUUCCAUGGAGAUAGCCCUUGAGGGUUGGAUGACAACAUCAAUGAAUGGCUAAACCAUUCUUUUAGGGAUAGAGAUAGCCCGAAGCAUGCCUCCCAGAUGUACAUUGAGCCAAAGGAAGUGAAGCAAAAGGAGCAAGCCAAGCUAAGCAAAGCAAAAGCAUAAAAAGCUAAGAAUCUAAAAAUUUGCAAAGCAAAGCAAGGCAAAGAAAAUUUGAAAAGAAUUUGAAGUUGCUCAAGGACCCUUUGUGAGUUUUUCUAACUCUUUUUCUAGUUAAAUCAUUGGCUCGCGUGGUGGCAUGUUUUAAUUUCUUAGAUAAAUCAUGAGCCUGCGUGGAGGCAAUUUAUUUGUUCUUGUAUAUUGUUAAAAGCAUUGGAGUAUGGGAUCAAUAUAUGUGGAGGUUUGUUGA